CUAUGAACGUGGCGGAGCCUAGCUAUACAGUCGAACGGUACACGAAGCAGCUUGCUGCUUUGCUGACGAGACGGGUGAGUAUGUCUGGGAAACUGCCUGAUGGAGGGGGAUAACUACUGGAAACGGUAGCUAAUACCGCAUAACGUCGCAAGACGAAAGAGGGGGACCUUCUGGCCUCUUGCCAUCGGAUGUGCCCAGAUGGGAUUAGCUAGUAGGUGAGGUAACGGAUCACCUAAGCGACGAUCCCUAGCUGGUCUGAGAGGAUGACCAGCCAGAGUGGAACUGAGACACGGUCCAGACUCCCUACGGGACAGCAGCAGUGGGGAAUAUUGCACAUGGGCCAACCU
rnacentral:rRNA from 1 species